AAUGCAUAUGACAGCAUCCGGAUAGUUGAUUCUUCAUAUAGAUCAAAGUAUUUUAUAAGCACGCUCGCAGAUCUCAAUCAAGUCCAUGAUUUGUCAUCUUACAUGAAGUCUCAAAUAGCUUGUUAUGAAGCAUCUCGACAAUUGUUGCAAGAAAAGCGAGAUAGUAUUGAUCAUUCUCAGGAGACUAGCGUGAACCUUUGUGAUGGGCAUAAAGUAACCAUUCUUGAUGUGCCUAGCAAGCCUGCUGUACCUCACAUUGAAGGCCAAAACAUUGAAGGUAGUAGCACGGUUGGUGAAAUCAUUCAGGGUGCAGCUGUUCAGGUGCAAAGGAAAAACACUGAGGACAGCAAAUGGCCUGCCACCUGUGUUUCACAUGCAUCUAGACCUAUAUUACCAUGGAUUAAUGGAGAUGGCAGUACAAACUCCAUCGUAUACAAGGGUCUUACACGUCGAGUUCUUGGCACUGUCAUGCAAAAUCCUGGUAUCAUGGNNNNNNNNNNNNNUCUGACCAACAAAAUUGUCUGGACUCUUGGUUAAAACAAAUGAGGAGAUCGUUAUGGACAACUAGAAGAGUUAUUUUUUUUGUUUUUUCUAGAAAAUUUAAUGGUUUCACUUUCAUAUUUUCUGAAUACCUUGCGUUUUUGUAUGUCUACCAAGGCACUAGAAGGUUCUUCAGUUUAUCUCAUACUUUAACACCAAUGGAUAGUCAAUUUAUCCUUACUACGAAAACAGUCAGGAUUAUUAGGUGUUUCAGUCAAGUUCCUUGUGGGCAACAUAAUCAUAUAUAAAUUCGUGUAGGAUUUCUAAGGUGCCCUAAGUUGUUUUUGGUUCCAUGUAAUAUCCUACGGCUCAAGGUCAACCGAACAGGUACCGAGAUCCGUACUGGUUGGCUGGCGGAUCGAUAUGGUACCAGUUCGGAAUUGGCACACCUAUUUUUUUUGAAUUUUUGAGUUUUAAUUAAUUGGUAAUCAAUCUCUUUCAAUUUUUUCAAUGAUUUUAAGUCUAAUUUGAUAUAUUUUUUGAUAUUUUUUGAUGUUUUUAUGAUCUUGGUUUAACCUAAAUGAUGCAUCUUAUUGUUGUAAAGUGAUAUAAAAAUAUACAAUGAUUAAUGAGAUGUUGUAUGCUGCAAGAAGCAACAUGAAAUAUCCUAAAAUCAACUAGUGAGGAGAAAAAUAUAAAAUAAGUUUUGGAAAUGCUAACCAAAACUUCAAUGGUAAAGGAAGUCUGCCAGUCGGCGAAAACAUUAAGAGAUAAUGGCGCUUCCAACGUUUAGAUGUCCGUUUUGAAGCUGCGCCCUGUAGUUUUGAAGCUGGCCAGACCAGUACCAAUUCCUGUAGUGGUGGUCAAUAUCUAGGGCUCCCCAUCUUUCUUUCGUUCUACCAGAUAUCAUGAUUCUCCCUAUUGUGCAGGUGCCUCUAUUGGUUUCUUCAAUUCCUCCUAUUCACGUUGCUGCCAUGGCCAACACAGUAAACGACUGCCUUUUACCCUUUUGACUCCGAAAAAUGGAUUCUGGUUCAACUGCUUGAACAACAGAAUGAAUUCUUGCUUGCGUAAUACAAUCAAUUAUAUAUAUAUAUAAAGUAUAAUAUACAUAUUAAUAUUUAAAAUCUCGUCGAGUGGUGAUGCUUCUUGUAGAUUUUCGGAUUAUUAACAUAAUUAGGAGGCACAUCGGCUAUCCUUCUAACCAAGCGACGCUGUAGUUUUGUAUGUUUUUCCAUAAAGAAUGCAUUCUAGGUUAUAAGCACUUUCGAAUCUCUUGCUGAAGCUCUAGCUUUGAGAGGUAUCCGCUGGCUAAUAAAAUGACUGUGAAGCGGCCUAUCCGAAUAAGCCGGCCGUAAAAUCUGAUCCGUAAGAUGCUCCGGUUUGCGUAGAGUAGUAGCUAUCGGAAGACGAUGUCUUAGACGCACCAUAUUCAUAUCUAUAUUCAUAUGGGUCAUAGGCUACUUGUGGCUGCAAAUAAUAGGAUUCAGUAUACGACUCGAAACCUGAUAUGUUUAUGGAUCCUACUCCACGUGCGAGGUUAUCUGCAGCUGCAUUGUGUCCUCUUGAAUGACCUUAAGAAGCUUGUCUUCAAUAUGCAAUCGCCUCGCGGGCUUUAUCAGAUCAUGCACCGUGGUCCCUAUCCUAUGUAGUAUGCAUAAAUUGGGACUUAUCGGUAAAUCGAGGACCACUCUUUGACUGUCUUAUAAAUGAUCUUAUGUCUAAUCCAUUCCUAGCCAACAGAUCCAUGACCACUAGAACUGCUGCUCCUGGUCUUUGAAUUUGAGUGAACUGGCUCGUCCGCACUUUUUUUGGGGGCCGCAGGUGUCUUUUGUUUUCUUUUUUUGGUCUGCUGAGCAGCUGCUUGCUUAUCCUUCGCGCCCCUCUUUGCCUAAGUGGCAAGCCCUAUACUUGGUCCUUGCAUAUUUUAAUAGCUCAGUUUUCAGUUUAGAACAUUUUUGACUAGUUAGAUGUUAGUUGAGUUACAUGGAUGACUACCAUUCUCUUCUAAUAGGCUUUUCGGUUCUACUGAAAGAGAAGAGGUGGGGGGAUGGCUUCUGGUAACAUAAACCAAGCUUUAUGUAUCUUUAUUCUAUUUUUCACUCGAUAAGGAAUUAUUGCAUCAAUUUGCAUCAAAAAAUUGGACAUAUUUAGAGGAUCAGAAUGUUAGAGUUGGUAACAUUAAUAGCAUUCAUGAAUGUUAUUAUUAUUUAAAUCAGGUUUGCGGUACCGGUCGUUAUCGGUGCAUAUCGACCUUAUCGUACCGAACUGGACCGGUACAUGGUAUAAAGGACGUACCAAUACUUGGUAUGCACCGCCCCUCAUACUAGGCGACACUAUAAUAGGAUGGUACCGGUUUGGAAUCCGGUACCGAGAUAGUGAACCUUGAUUCAAAUCUCUUCUAUUGGUUGACAAUUUUCCAAUACCAAAGAUAAUAGCCUGACUUUUGCGCUGGUGAUUUCUUUUGGAUAGUAAUAUUUCUAUUUCAUUUGCUGCCAUAUGUCCGUAAUGUUCAGUUUAUCGAAUCAAAAUUUUGAAUUAGGUUAUGCCCUAUUUCCAUGUCAUAUUACCAGCAGUUUUCUCUUCAUGAAGGCUAGGAAAUUAGAAUUGUCAUAAGACCAAGCUAGCUACUUGUUUUGGAUGAAGAAUGCAUUUUAAGUUGCUGAUAUUUGAAAUAAGAAAUCUAAGAUGAAAGCACAUACUAAGGGAAGCAGUAAUUGCUGCACAAUUGUCUGCCUAUCUCUUCAAGAGAUCUGUGUUAUACAUUUCUUUGGCUGUAUGUGCAAAUGUAGUUCACUUGUGCAAAUUAUAACAGCUGUCUGCUGGCAAUAACUGCUGAAGUGUUGCAGAUCUGCGUGGUGAAUUUUAAAUUAUGAAAUUCUAUAAGCUACUUGGAGAUUCUAGCUGAUUACUGGUUAGUACUCAUUUAUAGUUCUUCAUAGCUAUCUGCCAGAGGCAGAAGUGUCGCAUCAUCAUGCUUAAUCAGUGAAGUGAUAAAAUUAGCAUUUAUUUAUAGUUAUCAGGAAAGAUAUUUUAGUUUUUUGCAGAAAAGAACUUGCUUUUUGAUUUUGCCCAUCGUAUGGGAUGGGAUGACAUGUGGUGCAAGUAGACAUCCGUAGUUAUGUGAAAAAUUAAAGUGAACUUCCCAUUUAUCAGUUGAACUGUAAAGAAACAUACCUUUGUGAAGAAAUGUUCAGUCUAAUAUUGCGAGUAUUGUUUUCACAAACAGAGAUCUCUGCAUUCAUUUUGUUGUUUGCUGUACUUUAAGUUCAGUGCCUAUGGGAAAGCAAGACAAUCCUAAGCGCUUUCAUAGGCCUGCUAGGAACAAUAUGUCAAAUGCUGCAAGUCAUGUUAGAAUAUAGAUCAACCCUAGAAUGAUGGAUGGUUUGAUAGUUUAGGGCAGAGAGGUUAGAACAUAUCAAAUUGCUUUUGCUUUUGCUUGCUCUUAUGUAAGUUGUACUGUAGAUAAAUAUUUGGGAUAAAUUUCAAUCUUUUGUUAAAACAUAAUCUACACAGGUCAAUGCAUAUGACAGCAUCCGGAUAGUUGAUUCUUCAUAUAGAUCAAAGUAUUUUAUAAGCACGCUCGCAGAUCUCAAUCAAGUCCAUGAUUUGUCAUCUUACAUGAAGUCUCAAAUAGCUUGUUAUGAAGCAUCUCGACAAUUGUUGCAAGAAAAGCGAGAUAGUAUUGAUCAUUCUCAGGAGACUAGCGUGAACCUUUGUGAUGGGCAUAAAGUAACCAUUCUUGAUGUGCCUAGCAAGCCUGCUGUACCUCACAUUGAAGGCCAAAACAUUGAAGGUAGUAGCACGGUUGGUGAAAUCAUUCAGGGUGCAGCUGUUCAGGUGCAAAGGAAAAACACUGAGGACAGCAAAUGGCCUGCCACCUGUGUUUCACAUGCAUCUAGACCUAUAUUACCAUGGAUUAAUGGAGAUGGCAGUACAAACUCCAUCGUAUACAAGGGUCUUACACGUCGAGUUCUUGGCACUGUCAUGCAAAAUCCUGG
rnacentral:lncRNA from 1 species